rnacentral:misc_RNA from 1 species
AAAAAAAAUGGAGGCUGAUGUAAAUGCCGCCUGGAUCGAUGCGGAAAUUAUGGAAAAAAAAAUUAAAAAGAAAGUGGGGGCAAAAGAGAGGAUAUGAAGACCGUAUGGUGAUUGAAUUGAAUCUACAAUUUUUUUCCAGACGAGAUGGUGGCUUGCUGGCAACUAAAUCAAGUGUGUUCUAUUUCAUGUAAAUGACCCACUAAUUUUAGCCCCAACUUCUUUUUUCUUUUUUUAUUUGGAUUUUGGUUUUUCUGCUUGCUUUCCUUUACUUGUAGGUGGUGAUUAUCAAAAUGUUGCCAUAACCCCCGUGGAUUUGGAUU